rnacentral:tmRNA from 1 species
GGGGUCGACUGGUUUUGACAGCGAGAUUAAUUGAACGGUAAGCAUGUCGUGUAAUGGCAUUGAAAACACGUAAAAGGCUAUGUCAAACUUUUAAACGGCGAGAAUAACUACGCUUUAGCUGCUUAAUCUGAAUCACAGUAAGAUCAGGCCUCGUCCUACUAGGUAGGAAAGCUAAAUGUCUCUUGAAAGCCUUGGUUUAUGGCGUUCUAAUUAGAGGCAUCGUAAAAGUAAACCUAGAAAAUGUAGUGCUUUGAUACAUUUUUGAAACUAAAAAAGCUAAGUAAUACAUAGAGUGUUUUUAAUCAGUGUAUUAACAAAAAUCAUGAAAAAACUAAGUAUGUAGAAAGCCUUUUGGUAGCUUGUUUGGACGAGGGUUCGAUUCCCUCCGACUCCACAA